rnacentral:rRNA from 1 species
GAUGAACGCUGGCGGCGUGCCUAAUACAUGCAAGUCGAGCGAACGGACGAGAAGCUUGCUUCUCUGAUGUUAGCGGCGGACGGGUGAGUAACACGUGGAUAACCUACCUAUAAGACUGGGAUAACUUCGGGAAACCGGAGCUAAUACCGGAUAAUAUUUUGAACCGCAUGGUUCAAAAGUGAAAGACGGUCUUGCUGUCACUUAUAGAUGGAUCCGCGCUGCAUUAGCUAGUUGGUAAGGUAACGGCUUACCAAGGCAACGAUGCAUAGCCGACCUGAGAGGGUGAUCGGCCACACUGGAACUGAGACACGGUCCAGACUCCUACGGGAGGCAGCAGUAGGGAAUCUUCCGCAAUGGGCGAAAGCCUGACGGAGCAACGCCGCGUGAGUGAUGAAGGUCUUCGGAUCGUAAAACUCUGUUAUUAGGGAAGAACAUAUGUGUAAGUAACUGUGCACAUCUUGACGGUACCUAAUCAGAAAGCCACGGCUAACUACGUGCCAGCAGCCGCGGUAAUACGUAGGUGGCAAGCGUUAUCCGGAAUUAUUGGGCGUAAAGCGCGCGUAGGCGGUUUUUUAAGUCUGAUGUGAAAGCCCACGGCUCAACCGUGGAGGGUCAUUGGAAACUGGAAAACUUGAGUGCAGAAGAGGAAAGUGGAAUUCCAUGUGUAGCGGUGAAAUGCGCAGAGAUAUGGAGGAACACCAGUGGCGAAGGCGACUUUCUGGUCUGUAACUGACGCUGAUGUGCGAAAGCGUGGGGAUCAAACAGGAUUAGAUACCCUGGUAGUCCACGCCGUAAACGAUGAGUGCUAAGUGUUAGGGGGUUUCCGCCCCUUAGUGCUGCAGCUAACGCGUUAAGCACUCCGCCUGGGGAGUACGACCGCAAGGUUGAAACUCAAAGGAAUUGACGGGGACCCGCACAAGCGGUGGAGCAUGUGGUUUAAUUCGAAGCAACGCGAAGAACCUUACCAAAUCUUGACAUCCUUUGACAACUCUAGAGAUAGAGCUUUCCCCUUCGGGGGACAAAGUGACAGGUGGUGCAUGGUUGUCGUCAGCUCGUGUCGUGAGAUGUUGGGUUAAGUCCCGCAACGAGCGCAACCCUUAAGCUUAGUUGCCAUCAUUAAGUUGGGCACUCUAAGUUGACUGCCGGUGACAAACCGGAGGAAGGUGGGGAUGACGUCAAAUCAUCAUGCCCCUUAUGAUUUGGGCUACACACGUGCUACAAUGGACAAUACAAAGGGCAGCGAAACCGCGAGGUCAAGCAAAUCCCAUAAAGUUGUUCUCAGUUCGGAUUGUAGUCUGCAGCUCGACUACAUGAAGCUGGAAUCGCUAGUAAUCGUAGAUCAGCAUGCUACGGUGAAUACGUUCCCGGGUCU